ACUCGCCUGCAUGAAGUCGGAAUUGCUAGUAAUCGCAGAUCAGCAUGCUGCGGUGAAUACGUUCCCGGGCCUUGUACACACCGCCCGUCACACCAUGGGAGUCGGUAACACCCGAAGUCGGUAGCCUAACCGUAAGGAGGGCGCCGCCGAAGGUGGGAUUGAUGACUGGAGUGAAGUCGUAACAAGGUAAC
rnacentral:rRNA from 1 species